GACGAACGCUGGCGGCGUGCUUAACACAUGCAAGUCGAACGAUGAGGGAUGGGCUUUCUUCUCUGGCUGAGUUGCGAACGGGUGAGUAACGCGUACGUAACCUGCCUGCUAUUGGGGGAUAACUAUUGGAAACGAUAGCUAAUACCGCAUAAUAGCAGAUUACGCAUGACAUUGGCUUUAAAGGUGCAAUUGCAUCACCACGACAUCUACCUGCGUUGUAUGAGCUAGUUGGUGAGGCAACGGCUCACCAAGGCACGGAUCCAUAGCCGGCCUGAGAGGGGGAGCGGCCACACUGGGACUGAGACACGGCCCAGACUCCUACGGGAGGCAGCAGUAGGGAAUCUUCGGCAAUGGACGGAAGUCUGACCGAGCAACGCCGCGUGAGUGAUGAAGGUUGUCGGGUCGUAAAGCUCUGUUGUAAGGGAAGAAAGGGUUUGAGAGUGAAAGGGAGACGGAGUGACGGUAUCGUACCAGAAAGCAACGGCUAACUACGUG
rnacentral:rRNA from 1 species